CUCGCCCCGUUGCUGACGAGCCCGCCGCCCCUGCUGCGUGCUUCGCCGCCGUCGCCGACGGUCGGUGCUCCACCCUCCGUUGCGGCUGCCAUCGAAGAAACGGCGGUGGUGACGGAGCCGGCGCCAAGGAAGGCAGUGGUUGCGUCGAGAAGAGGAGGACCGUACGUCGCCAGGCGGCUCCGGCUUUCUCUAGAGGAGUAGAGUUGCAGAGUGACGUGGAAGCCGGUGGCACACAGGAGCUAGCCGACGAGCUUGACACCGAGCAGCUUGGGCUGGAGAGCAAGAUUAUGGCCAUCAGGAACUUCUUGGAAGGACCCCGACCAUGUCCUCCGUGAUCCCAUUUUUACUUUCUCGCAGAAUAUGCUCCAAAUAUGCAACUUUCUUGACAUGAACUGUGCAUGUUUUUUGUGUUUUGUCUCAGCCCAACCGCCCCAACGACGUGCUGGUGAAAUAGUGAGCUUACUGCAAAACCGGCUAAACAUGAACAUCACCUUCAAGGAGCUGCAGGACGGUCCUGCUGCGGCUCAACCUCCACUGGGGCCACAUGCUUUGACUGGCCAUCAUCAGCAGGGUCAUCCAGCCUCCUCCGCCGGCGAGGGCGACCAGCCUGUACUGCAGGCUUGGACCGCCGUAGGGGACUGCGGGCGCCAUGGAGGGGCCGUGCUGUCCCUGUGACCAAUGGACGAUGACAGUUGCGGCUGCCGCGAGUCCACGCCGACUGCGAGGCGGUUAAUGUCGAUGACAUGUUCAGCCUGCGUAGGGAUAGCCAGAUCGGCAAGGAUCAGUUUCAUGGCAGGGGUGCAUGGAUUCACAUGUUUGGAAUGAGAUCAUGAAAGGAUAGAUGGCAUCCCAAGGAACUGAAGAAAAACAAAAAACUGUAGGAUCAGCAAUAGCAGUUAGAGAGGCUUUCUGGUUUUUUGAAAGGGUAUUUUAGAAGUUUACUCAAGCUGAGGUUUUGGAUACAGUACUAAUGAAUACAUAAUGAAUUGAUCUACCCCUCCACUCAAAGCCUCAAAUCAUGUCGCUCCAUACAAGUCGAAUGGCCUUGACAAGGCAUCAGAGAUAUCGGUUUGUUCGGAUUCUGCUGAUCAAAGUUUUAGAGUCGAGGUCUAAUAUGGUUGAUCACAGGGCCAAUCUUGUGCAGCAGUUUCAUGGAUGCAGAGCUAUUGGAAUUUGCAAACUAAAACAUGGACCCCAAUGAACGUCACGACUUUAAAAGCUCCACGGUACCGACUGUGACAUAUUAUACCCACAGAUGACGAUGAAAUUUGGUGGAGCUUUUGGUGAAGAAAAAGCAAUUGGAGGACGAGAAGCAGGGAAUAAUUCCAUCGAAUGUUUGAAGCAUUUGUUUUGGUUUUCUGUUUUCAGAUUUCUUGCAAGCAAAUUUAACCAUAGCAUCACAAAUGCCUAGCCCUUCGAUGGAAAUUUAGAUGUUUUAGUAGUUUAAAGUGCAGCUAUACCUUUUCAUUGUA